AUGAACGCUGGGCGGCGUGCUUAACACAUGCAAGUCGCACGAGAACGCUUCCGCUUGCAGAAGCUAGUAAAGUGGCGCACGGGUGAGUAACGCGUGGGUAAUCUACCUUCGAAUCGGGGAUAACAUUGCGAAAGCGAUGCUAAUACCGGAUGAUAUCUAAUGGACUUCGGACCAUAGGAUCAAAGGUGGCCUCUAUAUAUAAGCUUCCGUUUGAAGAUGAGCCCGCGUACCAUUAGCUUGUUGGUAGGGUAAUGGCCUACCAAGGCAACGAUGGUUAGCUGGUCUGAGAGGAUGAUCAGCCACACUGGAACUGACACACGGUCCAGACUCCUACGGGAGGCAGCAGUGAGGAAUUUUGCGCAAUGGGGGAAACCCUGACGCAGCAACGCCGCGUGAGUGAUGAAGGCCUUCGGGUCGUAAAGCUCUGUCAAGUGGGAAGAACCUAUUGGAUGUUAAUACCAUCCAGUACUGACGGUACCACUGAAGGAAGCACCGGCUAACUCCGUGCCAGCAGCCGCGGUAAUACGGGGGGUGCAAGCGUUAUUCGGAAUUAUUGGGCGUAAAGAGCGCGUAGGCGGCCUCUUAAGUCAGAUGUGAAAGCCCGGGGCUCAACCUCGGAAGUGCAUUUGAAACUAAGGGACUUGAGUAUGGGAGAGGGAAGUGGAAUUCCUGGUGUAGAGGUGAAAUUCGUAGAUAUCAGGAGGAACACCGGUGGCGAAGGCGACUUCCUGGACCAAUACUGACGCUGAGGCGCGAAGGCGUGGGGAGCAAACAGGCCUUUUGCCCUGGUAGUC
rnacentral:rRNA from 1 species